rnacentral:rRNA from 1 species
CCAGACUCCUACGGGAGGCAGCAGUGGGGAAUAUUGCACAAUGGGGGAAACCCUGAUGCAGCGACGCCGCGUGAGUGAAGAAGUAAUUCGUUAUGUAAAGCUCUAUCAGCAGGGAAGAAAAUGACGGUACCUGACUAAGAAGCCCCGGCUAACUACGUGCCAGCAGCCGCGGUAAUACGUAGGGGGCAAGCGUUAUCCGGAUUUACUGGGUGUAAAGGGAGCGUAGACGGCAGUGCAAGUCCGGAGUGAAAGCCCGGGGCUCAACCCUGGGACUGCUCUGGAAACUGUAAAGCUGGAGUGCGGGAGGGGGAGGCGGAAUUCCUGGGGUAGCGGUGAAAUGCGUAGAUAUUAGGAGGAACACCAGUGGCGAAGGCGGCCUGCUGGGCUUUAACUGACGCUGAGGCUCGAAAGCGUGGGGAGCAAACAGGAUUAGAUACCCUUGUAU